GAUGAACGCUAGCUGCAGGCCUAAUACAUGCAAGUCGAACGAGAUUAAGAGGCUUUCUUCUUAUGAAAGUGGUGCACGGGUGCGCAACGCGUAUGCAACCUACCUUAAUCAGGGGGAUAGACCGAAGAAAUUCAUAUUAAGAACGCAUAAAAACACAGGAUAGCAUUAUCCAAUGUUCAAAUAUUUAUAGGAUUAAGAUGGGCAUGCGUGUCAUUAGGUGGUUGGCGGGGUAACGGCCCACCAAGGCGACGAUGACUAGGGGUUCUGAGAGGAUGACCCCCCACACUGGUACUGGGAAACGGACCAAACUCCGACGGGAGGCAGCAGUAAGGAAUAUUGGUCAAUGGACGGAACUCUGAACCAGCCAUGUCGCGUGCAGGAAGACAGCCCUCUGGGUCGUAAACUGCUUUUAUACGGGAAUAAACCUUUCUACGUGUAGGAUGCUGAAUGUACCGAAGGAAUAAGGAUCGGCUAACUCCGUGCCAGCAGCCGCCGUAA
rnacentral:rRNA from 1 species